rnacentral:rRNA from 1 species
AUAGCGUAUAUUAAAGUUGUUGUGGUUAAAAAGCUCGUAGUAGAAGCUCGGGCUCCGGCCGACCGGUCCGCCUCACCGCGUGCACUGGUUCGGCCGGGCCUUCACCUUCUGCGGAACCGCAUCUCCUUCACUGGGGGUGUCGGGGAAACAGGACGUUUACUGUGAAAAAAUUAGAGUGCUCCAGGCAGGCCUAUGCUCGAAUAGAUUAGCAUGGAAUAAUGGAAUAGGACGUGUGGUCUUAUUUCGUUGGUUUCUAGGACUGCCGUAAUGAUUAAUAGGGACAGUCGGGGGCAUCAGUAUUCAAUCGUCAGAGGUGAAAUUCUUGGAUCGAUUGAAGACUAACUACUG